AGCUGCACCCGGAGAAGCCCUGACGUGGUGCCGAAGGACGCGGGUUCGAUUCCCGCCACCUCCACCA
rnacentral:tRNA from 1 species